UGAAUUUUGAAGGGCCGCGGUAUUCCUGACCGUGCGAAGGUAGCAUAAUCAUUAGUCUUUUAAUUAAAGGCUCGUAUGAAUGGUUGGACGAGAGAUAAACUGUUUCAGAUAAGUAGUUUGAACUUAACUUUUAAGUGAAAAGGCUUAAAUACCUCAAAAAGACGAUAAGACCCUAUAAAUCUUAACAUUAAGCUUUAUGUUAUUCUAAUUUAUAAGUUUAAAGAAAUUUAUAAUAAAAAUGUUAUGUUGGGGCAACAAAGAUAUAAUACAGUUAGCUGUUUUAACAUUCACACAAAAAUCAUUGACUUUUUAGAUCCUUACUAAAGAUUCCAAGAUUAAGUUACUUUAGGGAUAACAGCGUUAUUCUUUUCAAGAGUCCUCAUCGAAAAAAGAGUUUGCGACCUCGAUGUUGAAUUAGAAAAUCU
rnacentral:rRNA from 1 species